rnacentral:rRNA from 1 species
UACAGAGGUCCCAAGCGUUGUUCGGAUUCACUGGGCGUAAAGGGUGCGUAGGUGGUGGGGUAAGUCGGAUGUGAAAUCUCCGAGCUCAACUCGGAAAUGGCAUUGGAAACUACCCUGCUAGAGGGUCGGAGGGGGGACUGGAAUGCUUGGUGUAGCAGUGAAAUGCGUAGAUAUCAGGAGGAACACCGGUGGCGAAGGCGGGUCUCUGGGCCGAUACUGACGCUGAGGAGCGAAAGCGUGGGGAGCGAACAGG